UGUGGGAGCGGGCUUGCUCGCGAUGGCGGUGGUUCAGUCAAUAUCUUCGGUGACUGACACUGCGCUAUCGCGAGCAAGCCCGCUCCCACA
rnacentral:misc_RNA from 1 species